AGUAGUUAUUCAUAGGUAAUUAGUCUUUUGGUAAGCAAAUUACUACUUGUUUAAAGUUCCAGUUAAGAAGCCAAAUAAGAUAUCAUUUACAUCAAAAAUGAACAAAUAAGGGGGCAUCUACUUUCUAUAAUAACAGCCUGGGAAACUCGGACCAUCCUUCCUUCUGAGGACGCUGAAAAAACUGAAUCCAAGAACUAACAAGAUAUUAAGGAAUUGCCAGGUGGUGACCUAGCAUGCUAAGAACACAGCAAGGUAGUGGCUAUAUGCAUACUGGCUUUGUAAUCGUUGCUUAAGCCGUAUUUGUGUUGUGCAUUUUUUAUUAACUCUUAUGCAUUGCCAGGACCCUGAAGGUGUCAUACUCUUCCUGACAGGACCUACCAGCUUGACGGAGAGCUCUAUCCCCAUUUCCUAAAGAAGAAACCUAAUCCUUGGAAAUGUUCAGUGGCUGCCCCAAGAUGUCGGCACAACCUCUUGUGCUCUUGCGUCCUGCCACAAGAAC
rnacentral:lncRNA from 1 species